rnacentral:lncRNA from 1 species
AUGUUCUAUUCGAUACAUUUCGACAAUGUCAGCCCUUAUGGGUUUUUCAUGACGACAGAUAAAAACGACAGUGUUACCCUUUACGUUUCAUUUGAUAAAAACGACAGUGUUACCCCUUAUGUUUUUUUUCCCAUGACUGAUGAAAAACAACAGUGUUAUAUUUUAUUUGACAUGGACAAUUUUUUUUUUUUUCAUGACGGCCAAUAAAAAACAACAGUGUUACCCCUUAUGUUUUUUUUCAUGACGACCAUAAAAAACAACAGUGAUACCCCUUAUGUUUUUUUCAUGACCCAUAAAAACGACAGUGUUACCCCUUAUGUUUUUUUUUUUUCAUGACGACCAAUAAAAAACGACAGUGUCACCCCUCAUGUUUCAUUUGAUAUAAACGACAGUGUUACCCCUUGUGUUUUUUUUCAUGACGACCAAGAAAAACAACAGUGUCACACCCUUAUGUUUUAUUUGAUAAAUAUCGACGGUGUUACCCUUAUAUUUAUUUCAUGACGGCCGAUAAAAUAACGACAGUGGCACCCCUAUCAACGUUUUUGCAGGGAUCCGAACAUGAGCUGUUUAGAGUGUUAACCUCCAACUUAUCAAUGCACCAUCAAGACAGUGUCACCCCUUAUGUUUUAUUUGAUAAAUAUCAACAGUGAUACCCCUUAUGUUUUUUUCAUGACGACCAAUAAAAAACAACAGUGUUCCCCUUAUUUUUUUUUUCAUGACGACCAAUAAAAAAACAGUGUUACCCCUUAUGUUUUUUUUCAUGACGACCAAAGAAAAACGACAGUGUUACCCUUAUGUUUUUUUUCAUGACGACCAAUAAAAAAACAACAGUGUUACCCCUUAUGAUUUUUCAUGACGAACAAUAAAAAACGACAGUGUUACCCUUAUGUUUUUUUUCAUGUCGACCAAUAAAAGACAAGUGUUACCCCUCAUGUUUUUUUUUCAUGUUGACCAAUAAAUAACAACAGUGGUACCCCUAUCAACAUUUUUGCGGGUAUCCGAACAUGAGCGGUUUAGAGUGUUAACCGCCGAACUUAUCAAUGCUCCAUCAAGACACUUUUUAUAAUCGUCACAAAGCUUAUACUUGACCUUAUAAUUCGCAUGAAAUAGAGAUAUGAGUAUUCCAACAGAGGACAUCAACCGGACUUGAACCCCGGGCUCCAGGGGUUUUAGCUCACCUCUCGCUCUCUCCCUUCCCACUAAGAUUCAUAUUUUAAUUAAGUCUGAGGUUAUUAUGACAUGAUAGCAUUACGUUUAAAGAUAUUGUGUUUUCCACAGAAUUGAGCCGCGGUCUCCAGUGGUUAGGCAGAGUGCAGUCCACUGCACCACUGAGGCGAAGACAAUACACAAUAAUCAAUCAUCAAUAAAGAGGAUAUACAUGACAUUAAAAUGUAUGUGUGUGUUUCUAUUAUUUCCCUUAUGUUCUGUUUCAUGACGACCAAAAACAAACGACAGUGUUACCCCUUACUUUUAUUUGACAAAGACAACAGUGUUACCCUUUAUGUUUUUUUUUCAUGACGACCAAUAAAAAACAACAGUGUUACCCCUUAUGUUUUUUUCAUGACGACCAAUGAAAAACAACAGUGUUACCCCUUAUGUUUUUUUUCAUGACGACCAAUAAAAACACAGUGUUACCCUUACGUUUUUUUAUGACGACCAAUAAAAAACGACAGUGUUACCCCUUAUGUUUUUUUUCAUGACGACCAAGAAAAACAACAGUGUCACCCUCUAUGUUUUAUUUGAUAAAUAUCAACAGUGUCACCCCUUAUAUUUAUUACAUGACGGCCGAUAAAAAACUACAGAGUUACCCCUUAUGUUUUUUUCAUGACGACCAAAGAAAACGACAGUGUUACCCCUUAUGUUUUUUUUCAUCAUGACGACCAAUAAAAAAACACAGUGUUACCCCUUAUGUUUUUUUCAUGCCGACCAAUAAAAAACGACAGUGUUACCCCUUAUGUUUUUUUCAUGACGAACAAUAAAAAACGACAUUGUUACCCCUUAUGUUUUUUUUCAUGACGACCAAUAAAAAACGACAGUGUUACCCCUUAUGUUUUUUUUCAUGACGACCAAUAAAAAACAACAGUGUUACCCCUUAUGUUUUUUUUCAUGACGACCAUAAAAAAACAACAGUGUUAGCCCUUAUGUUUUUUUCAUGACCAAUAAAUAACGACAGUGGCACCCAUAUCAACGUUUUUGCGGGGAUCCGAACAUGAGCUGUUUAGAGUGUUAACCUCCGAACUUAUCAAUGCUCCAUCAAGACACUGUAUAUAAUCGUCACAAAGGUUAUACUUGACUUUAUAAUUCGCACGAAAUAGAGAUAAGAGUCUUCCAACAGAGGACAUCAACCGGACUUGAACACCGGUCUCUUGGGGUUUAGCUGACAGCUCUCGCCACUUCCCACUGAGAUUAGUAUUUUAAUUAAGACUGAGGUUAUAUAUGACAUGAUAGCAUUGCGUUUAAAAUUAAAGAUAUUGUGUUACCCUUUGUUUUUUUUCAUGACGACCAAUAAAAAACAACAGUGUUACCCCUUAUGUUUUUUUCAUGACGACCAAUAAAAAACGACAGUGUUACCCCUUACGUUUUUUUUCAUGACGACCAAUAAAAACAACAGUGUUACCCCUUAUGUUUUUUUUUCAUGACGACCAAUAAAAAACAACAGUGUUACCCCUUACGUUUUUUUUUCAUGACGACCAAUAAAAAACAACAGUGUUACCCCUUAUGUUUUUUUUUCAUGACGACCAAAGAAAAACAACAGUGUCACCCUCUAUGUUUUAUUUGAUAAAUAUCAACAGUGUCACCCCUUAUAUUUAUUACAUGACGGCCGAUAAAAAAACUACAGAGUUACCCCUUAUGUUUUUUCAUGACGACCAAAGAAAACGACAGUGUUACCCCUUAUGUUUUUUUUCAUGACGACGAAUAAAAAACGACAGUGUUACCCCUUAUGUUUUUUUUCAUGACGAUCAAAAAAACAACAGUGUUACCCCUUAUGUUUUUUUUCAUGACGACCAAUAAAAAACAACGGUGUUCCCCUUAUGUUUUUUUUCAUGACGACCAAUAAAAAAACAGCAGUGUUACCCCUUAUGUUUUUUUCAUGACGACCAAAGAAAAACGACAGUGUUACCCCUUAUGUUUUUUUUUCAUGACGACCAAUAAAAAAACAACAGUGUUAGCCCUUAUGUUUUUUUCAUGACCAAUAAAUAACGACAGUGGCACCCAUAUCAACGUUUUUGACGGGAUCCGAACAUGAGGUGUUUAGAGUGUUAACCUCCGAACUAAUCAAUGCUCCAUCAAGACACUUUAUAUAAUCGUCACAAAGGUUAUACUUGACUUUAUAAUUCGCACGAAAUAGAGAUAAGAGUCUUCCAACAGAGGACAUCAACCGACUUGAACCCCGGUCUCCAGCUCACAGCUCUCUCCACUUCCCACUGAGGUUAGUAUUUUAAUUAAGACUGAGGUUAUAUAUGACAUGAUAGCAUUACGUUUAAAUUAAAGAUAUUGUGUUUUCCACAGAAAUUGAGCCACGGUUUCCAGUGGGUUAGGCAGAGUGCACUCCACUGCACCACUGAGGCGAAGACAAUACACAAAAAUCUAUCAUCAAUAAAGAGGAUAUACAUGACAUUAAAAUGUAUGUGUGUAUUUCUAUUAUUUCCCUUAUGUUUUUUUUCAUGACGACCAAUAAAAAACGACAGUGUUACCGCUUAUAUUUUAUUGAUAAAACGACAGUGUUACCCCCUAUGUUUUAAUUGAUAAAUAUCGUCAGUGUUACCCCUUAUGUUUUUUUCAUGAUGGCUGAUAAA